AUGCAAUGCCUGUCUUAUCUCUCGCCUGGCAAGGUUAAUGAAGUGGUGGCGUUUUCGGAAGGAAGUCGGAUUGGGAUGAGUAGCAAAGACCAGAGGAAGCUCCAAGAUGAAACGUACGACUCUGAGCGGCUCCCGUCCCCUACCAGUCUGCAGUCACACUGCCGCCAUGCGGAGAAUAGAGUCCUCAUAACAAUGGAAAAUGCCAAGACCCAAAGGGCACCUAGACCGCCAUCACAGACUGGAUCUCUUUAAUUACCCGGUGAGUGCAAAUAUUCUAUACCCUUUCACCAUCUUGAAUCUGUACAAAGCGCUUUGCAGUGUUCUGAUGCCUACAAUAUGCAAAAGACCGAAACUAGUCUGCACAGAUAGUCUGACCAAAAUCAAUUUAAUUUGCCAAUUUUGACUUAUACCGGAAAACCAUGAGUGAGCCACCAUACUGUAGCCAUUACACAAUGCAAUUAUUAGCAUGUGAGAAAUCACUAAAGGUUAUCAUUCCUCUGAAGCUGAAGUGUCAGUCUCACAGAGGCGUUUCACACAGCGUGAGUCCAUAUCCACGCACACACUCACAAUGUGUUUAAGCGCUGUCUUCUUCAGGCCGUUCGUUACCACGUCUCCGUGUAUCUGAACAUGUUUCACAUCUUCCACCACAGGAACGAGAAUCCUUGGCAAUGGCUCGGAGGCGUACGCCUAUAAUUAGAAGGCAGCUCAAUUGGGUAGCAGGUAAUUUACCUUUAGGGGGAGACGACUAAUUAUUGUCUUUGAAAACCUAAUUUAGCGUCAAACACUUCAGGUGUCUUUUCCCCUCUCUUUAGCAAAGGGAAAGGUAUCCUGGAGCAGUCUUGGGGUUGGGGCGGAGGAUCCAUCCCCCGUGUGUCCUGUCUCUGGUGUUAUAAUGUUUACAUGGAUGAUUUCUAAAGAGAAACUAAGAGCCCGUGUCGCUGUGCAGAAACAGUGCAAAACGGAACAAAGCGUUUUUUGUUGUCCUCCUUUUGUCUGUCUCUGCAGGUUCUAGUGGAGGAAGGCGUCACUCUCUGCAGGUGUAUGGGGUUUCUUCUAGAGUGGAAGGCACCACUCUUAGGCCCUCUGUUAAAUGUUCCUAGCAGGUGAACCUGUUCCUGGCAGAUGGUGUUUGUGUGACUGACGCCCGUUCCCAGCAGAGGCAGGCCCAGGGAAACGAUCACAGAGCACAGUCUCUGCAGAGAAGCCCCAUCCAACCUGAUGGCAUAUGCUCUGCUGUGGCCUACACCUGCUGAAGGAUGGCGUUUACACCACCAUCCCUGGGCUCCACCGCCAAGUGGGGUGUUAAUCACAGCUCACUGCUCACUGCUCACUCUGCUCACACACACUUUUUAAAACCAGUAAAUAACUGAAUACACAACUACAGUGGCUCUGUCACUAUGGACAUAAUGUUAUCAUUUCCCCUGUAAGGCAUUGGAACCUCUUUUGUUAAGCUAUGUCUAUCGUAGCACAAUGUAGACUAAUGUGUGUAGUUUGAAACGGCAGAACAUUAAAACGAAUUGCACUCGAUUAUAAUGUGUCCUUUCCCAGACAUGAUGUAUCUAUUGGAUAGAGCAAACGUGACAAACUCAUCACAAAUGGACAGUUGAGAGUACAUGCCUGCGUUCUAUUUAAAUCUAUGACCUAUACAACCUCUUAGCAAACAAAACCAUGAAAAUGAUAUCAGGUUACUCCAAGCUCAACAGUCAAGCGGAGCCAUAUUCAAGCAAUUUUAUGGCUCAUCCAUACCAACUAUCACAGGUGUAUGAAAUGAUUUACUGGCUGAUGCUACUCAUCACUAGAGCUAUAGAAAAUAUCACUUUAUGAGAGUGUUUUCCCAGGCCUUUUGACUAACCAGUGCUAACUGGAGUAGAGCGGUGUCCAGUGUCGUUGUUGGACUAGAUUGGAGGUCAGUAACAGGUCCACUGUUGAAAUAUGUAGACAGUUAAUAGCCUGGAACUGCCCCGUCCAACUGGAAACCAGUGAGCUGCUUACACUAAAACUGGGGAUUAGGACACAGUCGCCCAAGUCACUGCCAAUUCAGAUGGCACGGAGACCCUGGGCAAAGCAGUUUGAUCUGGCGAGCUGUCAUCGAUUCACACAGCUUCCAGCUGGAGCACCGGAACCCCAUUGAAGCACGGAAUGGAACCCUCUCCAUCUUGGCACAUCUUGGCUGGCUCAAUCCCCCGCAGGCCAUUAGGGACAAAAUAUGUUUUGUUUUUCGAUUUUCUUUUUUUUCUCCUCCCGAAGAAAAAUACAGUCUGUCUUCAUGCUAUAACAGCCAUUACUUAAUUGUGCCGGAUUUUCCGAGCAGAGUGUUGCUUUAAUUAAGCAGCUAAUUGCAAUGUAGCUCUUGAUUAGCUUUGGGGGGAUGGGAAUGUUCAGACAGGCUGAUAUGUUGUGCACACUUCAGAAUCAUUUACAGAAAUUGAAGCUAAUUUCACUCUGUGUCUAUUGCUGCAUUAAUUUAAUUUGGGUUGCUUUUAGCUCAUUAACACUUCUAAUUAAUACGUUGACAUCACUAUUAAGAUGUCUCUUUGAAAUGGGCGUCUCCUGAUAGUCAGGAUGGAACAGGCUGACGGAUCGAGUGAGAAGCGGACUGUAGGGAGACAGAGAUGGAGAGAGAGAACUCCUCCAGACUGAAGGAGAGGAAGAUAGUGGCCUCGUUUCAUAAACCACAGCUAGUUUAUCAUAGUGGACACUAAUAGGGUUUUGUGGGUAAAUUGGAAAUGAAAGGAAUGUUGAUUGUUUUAAAUUGGAUAGAGGUUACAGUUAAUGUGCGUGUGCAUGUGUAGUACGUGUGCAUGUGUAGUACAUGUGCAUGUGUAGUACGUGUGCGUGUGUGUGCGUGUGUUGCUCUUGAAAAGGAGUGGGGGUGGUGGCGAGGGCUGGGACGUCAGGGCCAGAUGCCGUACACAGCUGAAGAUCACGCCUGACUAACUAUGUGUUUGGGUUUGUCACUUUAAUGAGGAGGAUUUAGUGACUAUGGGUUAGUAAUCCUCAGUGUGAAGCCUCAUCACACCACAGUCAGUUUAGCCAACUUUCACCACCACACACUGCCAUCUCCUAGAGCUGGCUGGAGGAUUUUACUGAUAGGAUCUUCUUUAUUAAACAUAAACAAAUCAUGUUAUUUACAUUUCUUAUGUAUUUCAGUCAACCUAUAUUUGCACAUGUCUGUUAUUUGGAUAUCUGAAAUAUUCAUUGUACUAGAAUUUCCUAACUUUACAAUGGGUGGCAAGCAUGAUUAUACUUUCUUCUAAAAUAUUGAAUUGAAAUGACAAAAAAGGACCUGUAUCCUUCUACAAAGCAUUUAUUAAAUGUGUGGCAAUUGGAUAAUGACUGAAAGAGCAAAUUAUCUAACAGAGGAGCAGUCAAGAUGAUGGUUCCAAACCAAGGUUCUCUCUCAAGUUUCAGAGUCAAAAUAAUGGCUUUCCAAUUUACUUUCUCUCACUUUGUCUUUCAUUAGGGCAUACAAGUCAAGAAAUCAGCAUUGAUGCAAAAAUGAUUGUUAUUUGGUAUGGUAAACCUUCUUUUUUUUCAGUGAAGUGCUUUUUUUGCUGGUAGUAGUCUGCCACUGAAGGGAAAGCCUUCUGUUUAGUACUUCAUUAAAAGUCUCUCAAAUAGGAGCCACUGGGGAGCGGAUCCCUGCGUCACAUGGAGAAGCUAUCAACAUCUGCAUCAAUUAACCCCUUCCUCCCCAGGGACCCAUUAGAACGAGGAACACCCUUUAAAAUUGUGUAUGAUUCAGAUUAGGCUCUGCAAUGGUGAGUGGGAGCGAUAGAAUGGGCUUUUUUGUUUUACUUUAUAGAUGUGUCUAUGUGAGACAUCUCAAAUGUCUUGGCUUUGUUUAAAAGCUUUGCAUCUGUGCUCUUGGAAUACACUCGGGUUAACAGUUAAGAUACAAAGCCGUCAGCAGCUAAUGUAUAGUUAACCUUGUUUGAUAUAAGGUAUUGAAAAGACGUGAUACAGUAUAUUAUGUACUGAAAAGAACAUACAUUUUGUGAAAUAAACAAUUAGAGGCAUAAAAUAGUUCUCAAUACAUCCAAAAUAUGUGAAGUAGUUUCUCAACUUUUAAUAUUUAUAUUGUUUUUAAUUUACAGACUAUUGUCUAGUGUUGUUCCAUGGAGUCCUGUUGGCUCUAGGCGAGAUGUGAAAUCUUGAGAGAUCUUGCAUAGGAUUAAUGGAUCCCGUUUACAGAUCCUCUGUUUCCAUCCUCACGAGGGGGAAUCAAAGAUGGGCUCAAUUAAAGAAUCUUUUCAAGCAGCAGCAACUGUAGGGAGCGCAGUGAUCAGUAUUGGCAAGAGGCAAGAGAAACACUUGUGUUUAAGACCUAUUACCAGCCAAACACUGUGCCCAAACAAUCUGAAGGGAUGUUAUUAAGAUUGUAAAUACCGCUAGGCUAUAUCUUAGAUCCUUAGGGACCAAGAAUUUACACCUUUAUAUCGCUACUGCUCUCCGUCCUUGAAGCAUGAAAGCAAGAUGUAGCACUGACUCUAGUUCAAUAGUGCUGCAGUUAGACCAUUUACGGGAAUAUGAUAUUUAGCAU
ensembl:lncRNA